CCCGCACAAGCGGUGGAGCAUGUGGUUUAAUUCGAUGAUACGCGAGGAACCUUACCUGGGCUCAAAUGUAUGUUGACGUAUUCUGAAAGGGAUACUUCUUCGGACAAUAUACAAGGUGCUGCAUGGUUGUCGUCAGCUCGUGCCGUGAGGUGUCGGGUUAAGUCCCAUAACGAGCGCAACCCCUAUCAUUAGUUGCCAUCAGGUCAAGCUGGGGACUCUAAUGAAACUGCCUACGCAAGUAGUGAGGAAGGUGGGGAUGACGUCAAAUCAUCAUGGCCCUUACGGCCUGGGCUACACACGUGCUACAAUGGUCGGUACAAAGGGUUGCCAAGCCGCGAGGUGGAGCUAAUCCCAUAAAACCGAUCGUAGUCCGGAUCGCAGUCUGCAACUCGACUGCGUGAAGUCUGAAUCGCUAGUAAUCGUGAAUCAGAAUGUCACGGUGAAUACGUUCCCGGGCCUU
rnacentral:rRNA from 1 species